rnacentral:rRNA from 1 species
UACGUAGGUGGCAAGCGUUGUCCGGAUUUACUGGGCGUAAAGAGCGCGCAGGCGGUCGAUUUAGUCGCGUGUGAAAGCCCCCGGCUCAACUGGGGAGGGUCACGCGAUACUGAUCGACUCGAAGGCAGGAGAGGGUAGUGGAAUUCCCGGUGUAGUGGUGAAAUGCGUAGAUAUCGGGAGGAACACCAGUGGCGAAGGCGGCUCUCUGGGACGGUACUGACGCUGAGACGCGAAAGCGUGGGGAGCGAACAGG